rnacentral:piRNA from 1 species
UGCUAUGUAUUUGGUUUUGUUCCAUCUUU